rnacentral:rRNA from 1 species
GACGAACGCUGGCGGCGUGCUUAACACAUGCAAGUCGAACGGAAAGGCCCUGCUUUUGUGGGGUGCUCGAGUGGCGAACGGGUGAGUAACACGUGAGUAACCUGCCCUUGACUUUGGGAUAACUUCAGGAAACUGGGGCUAAUACCGGAUAGGAGCUCCUGCUGCAUGGUGGGGGUUGGAAAGUUUCGGCGGUUGGGGAUGGACUCGCGGCUUAUCAGCUUGUUGGUGGGGUAGUGGCUUACCAAGGCUUUGACGGGUAGCCGGCCUGAGAGGGUAACCGGCCACAUUGGGACUGAGAUACGGCCCAGACUCCUACGGGAGGCAGCAGUGGGGAAUAUUGCACAAUGGGCGGAAGCCUGAUGCAGCAACGCCGCGUGCGGGAUGACGGCCUUCGGGUUGUAUACCGCUUUCGCCUGUGACGAAGCGUGAGUGACGGUAAUGGGUAAAGAAGCACCGGCUAACUACGUG